rnacentral:rRNA from 1 species
GACGAACCGUGCGAACGUUGUUCGGAAUCACUGGGCUUAAAGGGCGCGUAGGCGGGCUCGCCAGUCAGGGGUGAAAGCCUCCAGCUCAACUGGAGAAGUGCCUUUGAUACUGCGAGUCUCGAGGGAGGUAGGGGCGUGCGGAACUUCCGGUGGAGCGGUGAAAUGCGUAGAUAUCGGAAGGAACACCGGUGGCGAAAGCGGCGCGCUGGACCUCUUCUGACGCUGAGGCGCGAAAGCCAGGGGAGCAAACGGG